UACGUAGGGUGCAGACGCAUUGAAUUCGAAUCUGGGCGUAAAGCGUGCGCAGGCGGCUUUGCAAGACAGAUGUGAAAUCCCCGGGCUUAACCUGGGAACUGCAUUUGUGACUGCAUGGCUGGAGUGCGGCAGAGGGGGAUGGAAUUCCGCGUGUAGCAGUGAAAUGCGUAGAUAUGCGGAGGAACACCGAUGGCGAAGGCAAUCCCCUGGGCCUGCACUGACGCUCAUGCACGAAAGCGUGGGGAGC
rnacentral:rRNA from 1 species